rnacentral:rRNA from 1 species
AUACGAAGGGUGCAAGCGUUACUCGGAAUUACUGGGCGUAAAGCGUGCGUAGGUGGUCGUUUAAGUCCGUUGUGAAAGCCCUGGGCUCAACCUGGGAACUGCAGUGGAUACUGGGCGACUAGAGUGUGGUAGAGGGUAGCGGAAUUCCUGGUGUAGCAGUGAAAUGCGUAGAGAUCAGGAGGAACAUCCAUGGCGAAGGCAGCUACCUGGACCAACACUGACACUGAGGCACGAAAGCGUGGGGAGCAAACAGGAUUAGAUACCCUAGUAGUCC